rnacentral:pre_miRNA from 1 species
AUUCUACUCCCUCCGUUGCACAAUACAUGCCUUCUAUUUGUCAAAAUAUAUAUGUAUCUAGACAUGUUUUAGUAUAUAGGUACAUCCAUUUUUUGACAAAUGGAAGUCAAGUAUUUUGGAACGCAGGGACUACACA